ACCUGGAGGUGCUUCAGUUGAGCAGAUGCUAGGAGACGCGCAGCCCACAACCGUGGGUUCCUGGGACAUGUUCUGCUCAGGUGGGAAAACCACCACCUGAACGCUGACUUUCAGAGAAACCCAACGGGGCACCCAGGGCUCUGAGUUUCUGGGUCCCACAUCGGGAGGAGAUUGAGGACGCGGCGCUCCCUCCCUGACUCUCGAGGGCCGGGGACGCACGGGUCGCCCGCCGUGGCCAGCACUCAGACAUCCGGGCCCAGGCAGCAGGCGGAGCUGCCUCCUGGAUUCUCUCCAUUUUCUACCAUGUCAGGAAAUUCCUCUUGAGAAAGCACAUUCCUUCUGAGUUCACCCCGUGAUUAGCAUUCUGUAUAAAAAGAAAAAAAGAAAAGAAAAAAUAACCUCGAAGAUGAAAUUUCUUCUCGUGCCUCGGCCCAACUCAGCUCCACUUGGUUUUCAUUUACUGCGAUGUGUACUUUGGAAUCGGAGCCUCGAGCUUUCCCGGUGAACUCCUGCCACCUGGGGUGCAUUAGGGGGGGUGCUGGGCAGGGACUUGGGCUCGGCCCCCGCUCCCACCUCUUUCCCCACGUCCUGCAAACGGAUCGUUAAAGAGGCGGCCUCCGUGCGCAGAGCCCGAGGGCCCGAGUGCGAGUCCUGUGCGGGCCCCAGCAGGCAGGGUGCGGGUCCCCGGAGCAAGCCCUCCGCUCCCAUCACUCUGGGGGGCGAGUCUAAUCCAGACGGGAUGUGUGACUUCAAAACAGCUGGGAAGCAUUACAGGUCAAAAGUUUAAAUCAAGCUCAGCCGGUCGGAAUGUGCGAGCUGUGCCUUUGCGACCGCCGCCUCUUCCUGUGCCGCGAGGCCUGUGCACGAGCGUGGGUCCGGGCUGGUGCAGGCUCAGGGGCUCGGGGCGCCCGGCCCACCCCAGGCAUAGCUGCACCCCAGGGACCUGCACAGUCAGAGCCCCAAGCUGGAAAGAUCAUCGCAGAUCAUUCAAACCACCUCAUUACACGCAUGAAAAUGGGCCCAGAGAGGCUAACGUCCAGCUCCGAGGCCCCCAGCACCUGGCAGCAACGCACCUGAAGGGAGGCCGGGGUGACCUGGCUGCCACCCGCUGCCGUCUGCUCGGACCGCACAGCCCUCCUGGCAUGUUAGUGUCUUCUCGGUUCUGCAGGCUCGUGAAGUCCUUCCCCCCUUGGCAGUUGGGGGACUCGCUGCUUCUUCCUUGGAGAGGAUGAGCCCCCCCGUUCCUCUCUCAGCUGGGAGGUGGAGCGCCACUUUCUCCGCAAGACGCGCCCGAAGAAGCUGUCCAGUCACCUCCCUGGAAGCCCUCUGGCUCCUCAGCUGGCUUGCGUCCCUCCUGGCACCUGAUGCCCCACGACCCUCCCUGUGUGUUACUCAGCGAUCACCCCCCCCCCCUUUGCUAGAGUGUAGGUACCUGAGGGUGGAAACCUUGUCCGCUGUGCCACUAUCUCCUGGCGUCCACCACAGGACACUUGCCCGCUGUGCAUCUAAUUAAUCAAUCGGCCGGCCAGCCCGUCGAGCAAUUCAAAGACGGGCUCCCCCUGUGUCCUCAGUGAUUAAGCCCUGGAUGUGUGGAGACUAGAGACGGCCCCAAGCAGAGUUGACGCGUGACGGUCUGGGUCCCUCCCCUUGAUUCCAAGUGGAUUCUGCGACUGUUUGGUCAAUAGAGGGAUGUCAGUGGUGGCCCCUUUCCAACCCUUAAGACCCCGGCAGCUUCUCCUGCCUCGGGUCCCUGGGGAGCCCUGAGCUCCGUGUAAGUAGUCUGGGUGCCCUGAGCGACCGCCACCCAGGAGAGGCCACCAGCAAGUGCACGUCCGUCAAUAGGCCCAGCUGCACCCGCCCUCCCAGCCAUCCCGACAAGGCCCCGAGUCAGUGAAUGAAGUCAGGCCUGACCCCCCUCUCCCCUCCAACCCCAAACAAGCCCAGCCACCUGGCAAAUGCCACCAAGCAACCUUAGCCCAUGCCACAGGGAGCAGAAACACCCAGGCCCGCCGAGCUGCGACGGGCGAGCCCUGCCUGGAUCUCCGACUGUAAUAAAAUGGGGGUUGCUUUCA
rnacentral:lncRNA from 12 species